GCGAUAGCUCAGGAACACUGCAG
rnacentral:piRNA from 1 species